rnacentral:rRNA from 1 species
UACAGAGGGUGCGAGCGUUAAUCGGAAUUACUGGGCGUAAAGCGUGCGUAGACGGUCAUGUAAGUCGGAUGUGAAAGCCCCGGGCUCAACCUGGGAAUUGCAUUCGAGACUGCAAGGCUUGGGUGCGGAAGAGGGAAGCGGAAUUUCCGGUGUAGCGGUGAAAUGCGUAGAUAUCGGAAGGAACACCAGUGGCGAAGGCGAACUCACUGGCCCGGUACUGACGCUGAGGUGCGAAAGCGUGGGGAGCAAACAGGG